AAGGAGUCUAACAUAUCUGCGAGUAUUUGGGUGUCAAACCCGAGUGCGCAAUGAAAGUGAACGGAGGAGCGACUCGCAAGCUGCAGCUUCGACCGAUCUGGAUCUUUUGUGAUGGAUUUGAGUAAGAGCAUAUCUGUUGGGACCCGAAAGAUGGUGAACUAUGCCUGAAUAGGGUGAAGCCAGAGGAAACUCUGGUGGAGGCUCGUAGCGGUUCUGACGUGCAAAUCGAUCGUCAAAUUUGGGUAUAGGGGCGAAAGACUAAUCGAACCAUCCAGUAGCUGGUUCCUGC
rnacentral:misc_RNA from 1 species